rnacentral:rRNA from 1 species
UGCGUAGGCGGUUUAAUAAGUCAGAGGUGAAAGCCCGCAGCUCAACUGUGGAAUUGCCUUUGAUACUGUUAGACUUGAAUCAGGUUGAGGUUGGCGGAAUGUGGCAUGUAGCGGUGAAAUGCAUAGAUAUGCCAUAGAACACCAAUUGCGAAGGCAGCUGACUAGACCUGUAUUGAUGCUGAGGCACGAAAGCGUGGGGAGCGAACAGGAUUAGAUACCCUGGUAGUC